GGUGGGGAUGACGUACAAGUCCUCAUGGCCCUUAUGGGUAGGGCUACACACGUCACACAAUGGCCGGUACAGAGGGCAGCCAACCCGCGAGGGGGAGCCAAUCCCACAAAACCGGUCGUAGUCCGGAUUGCAGUCUGCAACUCGACUGCAUGAAGUCGCAAUCGCUAGUAAUCGCGGCUCAGCAUGCCGCGGUGAAUACGUUCCCGGGUCUUGUACACACCGCCCGUCACACCAUGGGAGCGGGUUCCGCCAGAAGUAGGUAGCCCAACCGCACGGAGGGCGCUUACCACGGCGGGGUUCGUGACUGGGGUGAAGUCGUCACAAGGU
rnacentral:rRNA from 1 species